AGUUCCGGCAGAAGUCAUUCUGCUCUUGUGGAUUUGCAAUCCAAUAUGCUGUACAUCACGGGCCU
rnacentral:tRNA from 1 species